rnacentral:rRNA from 1 species
UUGAUCCUGGCUCAGGACGAACGCUGGCGGCGUGCCUAAUACAUGCAAGUAGAACGGAGGAGCUUGCUCUUCGAGUUGCGAACGGGUGAGUAACGCGUAGGUAACCUGCCUUGUAGCGGGGGAUAACUAUUGGAAACGAUAGCUAAUACCGCAUAACAAUGGGACACAUGUCUUUAUUUGAAAGGGGAUUGCUCCACUACAAGAUGGACCUGCGUUGUAUUAGCUAGUAGGUGAGGUAACGGCUCACCUAGGCGACGAUACAUAGCCGACCUGAGAGGGUGAUCGGCCACACUGGGACUGAGACGCGGCCCAGACUCCUACGGGAGGCAGCAGUAGGGAAUCUUCGGCAAUGGGGGCAACCCUGACCGAGCAACGCCGCGUGAGUGAAGAAGGUUUUCGGAUCGUAAAGCUCUGUUGUAAGUCAAGAACGAGUGUGAGGAAAUUCACACUGUGACGGUAGCUUACCAGAAAGGGACGGCUAACUACGUGCCAGCAGCCGCGGUAAUACGUAGGUCCCGAGCGUUGUCCGGAUUUAUUGGGCGUAAAGCGAGCGCAGGCGGUUUGAUAAGUCUGAAGUUAAAGGCUGUGGCUCAACCAUAGUUCGCUUUGGAAACUGUCAAACUUGAGUGCAGAAGGGGAGAGUGGAAUUCCAUGUGUAGCGGUGAAAUGCGUAGAUAUAUGGAGGAACACCGGUGGCGAAAGCGGCUCUCUGGUCUGUAACUGACGCUGAGGCUCGAAAGCGUGGGGAGCGAACAGGAUUAGAUACCCUGGUAGUCCACGCCGUAAACGAUGAGUGCUAGGUGUUGGAUCCUUUCCGGAUUCAGUGCCGCAGCUAACGCAUUAAGCACUCCGCCUGGGGAGUACGACCGCAAGGUUGAAACUCAAAGGAAUUGACGGGGGCCCGCACAAGCGGUGGAGCAUGUGGUUUAAUUCGAAGCAACGCGAAGAACCUUACCAGGUCUUGACAUCCCGAUCUAUUUCUAGAGAUAGAAAGUUACUUCGGUAAUCGGUGACAGGUGGUGCAUGGUUGUCGUCAGCUCGUGUCGUGAGAUGUUGGGUUAAGUCCCGCAACGAGCGCAACCCCUAUUGUUAGUUGCCAUCAUUCAGUUGGGCACUCUAGCGAGACUGCCGGUAAUAAACCGGAGGAAGGUGAGGAUGACGUCAAAUCAUCAUGCCCCUUAUGACCUGGGCUACACACGUGCUACAAUGGUUGGUACAACGAGUUGCGAGUCGGUGACGGCAAGCUAAUCUCUUAAAGCCAAUCUCAGUUCGGAUUGUAGGCUGCAACUCGCCUACAUGAAGUCGGAAUCGCUAGUAAUCGCGGAUCAGCACGCCGCGGUGAAUACGUUCCCGGGCCUUGCACUCACCGCCC